AGGACACUUUGCUUGCGAGCCUGAGAACGUUUAUUCCCCCAUGCGUGGUGGAUGGAGCGAAUCGCCCUCAGCGCAAUGCAAGGCAAAAUGCAGGGAGUGGUUACAAGACUGACAUCCCAACAAGAAGUGGCAACCCCUGACUGACAGAACCUUGUAAGGAGAAAACUGUGUGAGUUGCCAUGUGCCUGAAUGAGUGCUCUGUGUGUCUUGCACCGACUCCACAGCUGGCCGUGCUUCCUGGGUGCCCUCUGGGUGCAGAUGUUCUGACAAUGAACGGCAGGUACGGGAAGUUCCAUUUCUACCUCCAGUGCAACUUGAAAGAGACUCUUUUUGUUUGUUUGUUUGUUUUUUUCUGUCUUUACAGAGUUCUUUGGCUUUUUUCCUUGAACUAAUUUUGAGCAGAGGUCUUGGCAGGCGGGGAGAGAGUCCUGAUCUGAGAUCUUUUUAACAGAGGACUGUGACACAGAGAGAGUUACAGCGAAAUGAAAUGGAGGUGGGCAGGUGGGCAGGGUUUGAGUGAGCUGAACUGCUACUUGCUCUAGGGACAUAUCUCCCCGCUGCGGUUGCUUAAUGUCCUAAGAUGAUAUAGAUGAUGAGAACUUACUUGUUUUGAAUGCCAAUGUGUAUAAACAUUCAGAAUCAAUAUUGUUUCUUCAGAGGCAUACAAAUUAGGACUAAAUGCAGAGAUCUACUUUUAGUGAAGGGUUAUGUGGCGAUGCGUUAUUUUUACCAGU